rnacentral:misc_RNA from 1 species
AACUUUCGACAAUGGAUCUCUUGGUUCUCGCAUCGAUGAAGAACGCAGCGAAACGCGAUAAGUAAUGUGAAUUGCAGAAUUCAGUGAAUCAUCGAAUCUUUGAACGCACAUUGCGCCCCCUGGUAUUCCGGCGGGCAUGUCUGUUUGAGCGUCAGUACGCACCUCUGUUUCGACUUUUGUCGAGCAGGUCGUGGGCGCGCCCUUCGCGAGAAGGGUGCCCCUAACGUAGCACGCUUGCGGGCUCCCACACAGAUGUCAACGUAGUAAACUAAACGCUCGAUGCAAUCUUGUGGAGGCUCUGCCUGAACAAACCUUCUUGAGUUUGACCUCAGAUCAGAUAAGGAUACCCGCUGAACUUAAGCAUAUCAAUAAGCGGAGGCU